rnacentral:rRNA from 1 species
GACGUAGGUGGCGAACGUUAUCCGGAAUUAUUGGGCGUAAAGGGUGCGUAGAUGGCCUGAUAAGUUAGCAGUGGGAAAUCGAGGCUCAACCUCGUGGAAGCUGGUAAUACUGUCAGGCUCGAGUGCAGGAGAGGUUAACGGAACUCCAUGUGGAGCGGUAGAACGUGUAGAUAUAUGGAAGAACACCAAUAACGGCGAAGGCAGUUAACUAUUCUGUUACUGACAUUGAGGCACGAAAGCGUGGGGAGCAAAACGG